rnacentral:rRNA from 1 species
AGUGAACGCUGGCGGUAGGCCUAACACAUGCAAGUCGAACGGCAGCACAGUAAGAGCUUGCUCUUACGGGUGGCGAGUGGCGGACGGGUGAGGAAUACAUCGGAAUCUACUUUUUCGUGGGGGAUAACGUAGGGAAACUUACGCUAAUACCGCAUACGACCUACGGGUGAAAGCAGGGGAUCUUCGGACCUUGCGCGAUUGAAUGAGCCGAUGUCGGAUUAGCUAGUUGGCGGGGUAAAGGCCCACCAAGGCGACGAUCCGUAGCUGGUCAGAGAGGAGGAUAGGCCGCACUGGAGCUGGACCGCGGUCCAGACUCCUACGAGAAGGAGCAGUGGGGAAUAUUAGACAGUAGGCGCAAGCCUGAUCCAGCCAUACCGCGUGGGUGAAGAAGGCCUUCGGGUUGUAAAGCCCUUUUGUUGGGAAAGAAAAGCAGCAGGUUAAUACCCAGCUGUUCUGACGGUACCCAAAGAAUAAGCACCGGCUAACUUCGUG